rnacentral:rRNA from 1 species
UGGGGAAUAUUGGACAAUGGGCGCAAGUCUGAUCCAGCCAUGCCGCGUGAGUGACGAAGGUCUUCGGAUUGUAAAGCUCUUUUUACCAGGGACGAUAAUGACGGUACCUGGAGAAUAAGCCCCGGCAAACUACGUGCCAGCAGCCGCGGUAAUACGUAGGGACCAAGCGUUGUUCGGAUUUACUGGGCGCAAAGGGCGCGUAGGCGGCAUGACAAGUCACUUGUGAAAUCUCUGGGCUUAACCCAGAACGGCCAAGUGAUACUGUCGCGCUAGAGUGCAGAAGGGGCAAUCGGAAUUCUUGGUGUAGCGGUGAAAUGCGUAGAUAUCAAGAGGAACACCUGAGGUGAAGACGGGUUGCUGGGCUGACACUGACGCUGAGGCGCGAAAGCCAGGGGAGCAAACGGGAUUAGAUACCCGUGUAGUCCCUGAGCGGGCUGGCAAGGCGCAU